UUCAUUAUAUCGUACAGAGAUGUUUAGAGAGAGAAACAUAUAGAGGGAGAGAGAGAGCGCGGCGCGGCCGUAGGGUUCCGGCAACUGCAACCAGACCACAGAUCGUCGGCCACCAGAAAUUACACAUUCGAAGCUCGCGAUUCACUGUACAGGUCAAGGAUGAAGUGGUUACAAGUAAUAUAAGCAUGGUACAAGUUUGAUUUUUAAAGGAUUCGACCACCUGAAGAGCGCAUCAACACUAUAGACCGUCACAACAUCACUGGUCGUAGAUUGGAGCGGUUUCUCAACUCAUCGUCGGUUGUGUCGCCAAUGCCGUUAGUAAAACCUGCACCGCUCCGAUUGCUCGCCUCAUUAUACUCUUUCGGGGCAGUUGCGGCAAGUAUGAUGUUCGCAUUAUGAUACGUAUAUGCAAGUUGUCAUUGCCUUUGGGUAUCAGGUUAAAAAAAGUUCAUCUCGGCGCUCCAGUUCUAUCGGAAAAAGGUAUGAUCGGCAAAUGGAGUUGAUGCGGUGAAAAACAUGACGACGGCUGUAGUAUGUUGUUACAGACUUACAGCGGUGUGGUGCUUGAAUCGGGUGAUAAAGGUGGUCAAUUUACAAUGCCAAACGCCAACAUAUGUCUGCCAUAAAAGUGCAGCGAAUGAGACAACAUUGUCAUGGAUCCUAUCCUAAGCUGGUUUCGGAGGCAAAUGCUGGUAAAUGGGGGCAGCAGCAUCCCGGUUUGUUUGUGCCUGCGUGUGAGGUGCUUUGGGGCUGCAAAUGGUCAUGGACUAACAUUGGAUAGUAGGGUUGACGACUAGAGAACAGCAAAUGUACAACAUCGAGGUGCAAUAAGGUACAGUCUUGAGAUCGUUACGGGUCGAAUUGUGAGUACUGGUGCAACAGCAAGGGGGGAUCUUUGGCAGCUGUGUGGGAGUGUUUUGGGGCUGCUAACGGUUUCUGAACAACCAUUAUAAGUGAUGGUAGCGGCCGCGAGAAAAGAUCAUAAACAGCUCAAGUGACUUGGGGUACGUAUCGGGGGCUAGGGGCCGAAUCAUGGUGUGCAAACUGUGAAUUCGUAAAGUAUUUUAAGGGUACGUAAAGUAGGGAUGCGUAAUUUGGUCCGAACUGAAAAUAACCAAGACAAACCCGAAAAAAACCCGACACCGAACCGAACCGUAUCAUGUAAAUACCGAGAUUGGUUCUUAUAUUUCUCCUUCAUUCGGGUUCGGGUCAGGUCGGGUUGGUCCAAAAUGCCAAAAGAACACCGAAAAUACCAUAUAAUAGGAUGGGGCUGCUGGGCUAUGGCACAUCUGUGAUUUUGUUUUCUUAAUUAUAACUAACCUAAAUUACCUAAUUGCUUAGUAUAUAAUGGCAGAAUCACUAUCUCCAUUAUUCAUUUGAAUUAAUAGGAAUUGACUUACUAUCUAUUGAAUUGUUUGGCUGCUCUUGUGUGUAAUUCAUCAUCUAACGGGUCCGUUUACUAGCUACAUACUAAUCAUCAUUUACAAACUGAUGGUAUCAUAAAGUUUGCAUUUUUUUCACCAACUUAUCAUGUUUUCAAUAAAUUGUAAAUUGUAAUCCUUGGCGUUUUAUUGAUGUAUAUAUUUAGAUGGACGAUUUAACACUCUGAUUGUAGGGGAAACCAGACAUAAUAAAUUAGUGAAACAUGAAAUCAGGUACGGUUCUCCUACCCUAAAACCAUGGAACCGAACUGAUGGAGAACCGGAAACGAUGUAUUAAAACGGGUAUUAUUUUCGGGUAGCAAGUUAUAUUGACUUCGGGUAUCGGGCCGGGUCGGUUCUUGGCAUUUGCUCACCCCUAAUGUAAAGAAAGUAGCAAAAACUUAGUUCAUGCUAACAUCGCUUAAACUUUAAAGUGACCAAAACUGCAAAUUUUGCGUCAGAGAAGGUGGAGGUGCAGGUGCGGGUGAUAACUUGGUGUAUUCUCUACUAACAACAAUUCCGUAUUCUUGAUUUUAGUUUGGUAUCAAGAUGCACGAUGGUCGCAACAACGAAGCCCAGUGAGUAGAACCGGCCGCAACGCGCCGGGUGCUACUUCUAGUUAUUCCUUAAUUUACAUGUACAUAUCCCUUCCUUUUCAAUUACUAAAAAUGUUGUGAAAAUGCUAAGCAGGAAACAGGUAAAAUUUGGCACUAGAAACACGCUUAGGGAUCUACAUUGCAUUUUAUGUGAUAACUUAACAAGAACUAUGUUCCCGUUAAUUAUUUAUAUAUUCUUUUGCAUAGCAAUUAGAGGAU